CCCACGGGUGGCAGCAGUGGGGAAUAUUGGACAAUGGGCGAAAGCCUGAUCCAGCCAUGCCGCGUGUUUGAAGAAGGCCUUCGGGUUGUAAAGCACUUUCAGUGGGGAAGAAAGCCUUGGGGCUAAUACCCUCGAGGAAGGACAUCACCCACAGAAGAAGCACCGGCUAACUCCGUGCCAGCAGCCGAGGUAAUACGGAGGGUGCGAGCGUUAAUCGGAAUUACUGGGCGUAAAGCGCGCGUAGGCGGUCUGAUAAGCCGGUUGUGAAAGCCCCGGGCUCAACCUGGGAACGGCAUCCGGAACUGUCAGGCUAGAGUGCAGGAGAGGAAGGUAGAAUUCCCGGUGUAGCGGUGAAAGGCGUAGAGAUCGGGAGGAAUACCAGUGGCGAAGGCGGCCUUCUGGACUGACACUGACGCUGAGGUGCGAAAGCGUGGGUAGCAAACAGGAUUAGAUACCCCUGUAGUC
rnacentral:rRNA from 1 species